rnacentral:rRNA from 1 species
UACGUAGGGUGCGAGCGUUGUCCGGAAUUACUGGGCGUAAAGAGCUCGUAGGUGGUUGUCGCGUUGUUCGUGAAAACCGGGGGCUUAACCCUCGGCGUGCGGGCGAUACGGGCAGACUUGAGUACUGCAGGGGAGACUGGAAUUCCUGGUGUAGCGGUGAAAUGCGCAGAUAUCAGGAGGAACACCGGUGGCGAAGGCGGGUCUCUGGGCCGAUACUGACGCUGAGGAGCGAAAGCGUGGGGAGCGAACAGG